UUUUCCCUGCGGUGUUCGUGACUGGCCAAAAAUCCUGUUCCAAUAUCUUGGCAUCGGUUGCGGAAAAUUCUCGUGCGGGUGAGCUCGUCUCCAGUAGAUGAGCCCGAUGUGCGAAUGACUGCGACCACUUGGACCUUACGGUUCAGGAUGCCGGCCUGGCGGCACAGGCGGGGAAUUA
rnacentral:other from 1 species